CACUGACCAACUUCAGCUUCACUUGGGACACAGAGAGCAUCAACAAAAAUCCAGAGGAAGUCCAACUGAUCCACGACAAUACUGAUGAUGAUGCGUCCAUACUACUGAUCCUGCUGACCUCAGAUCCUUUCAGGAACAGAAGACAGCCAGACAACGCAAACGGAGCUCCAACUGGUCUACAGUGCUGAUGAUGUGUCCAUUGUAGAGCAGUUAACCACAGAUCCGGCUGACUUCAUCAUUGUGACCAACCUUACUGUAGCUCCACUCUGGACACAAAAGACAUUGACACAAAAUCAAAAGAGAUUCAGCUGGUCCAGGACAUUGCUGCUGAUGCUGUGUCCAUUGCUGGGCUGUUAACCACCACAGGUUUUGCCAACUUCAGCACCAUGACCAAC